UCCCUGAUGGUCUAGUAGUUAGGACCAAGCACUUUUAUUGAUGUUGCCCAGGUUCAGUCCCUAGUCUGGGAA
rnacentral:tRNA from 1 species